CAGCCGCCACGGGAAUACGUAGGUGGCAAGCGUUGUCCGGAAUUAUUGGGCGUAAAGGGCUCGCAGGCGGUUUCUUAAGUCUGAUGUGAAAGCCCCCGGCUCAACCGGGGAGGGUCAUUGGAAACUGGGAAACUUGAGUGCAGAAGAGGAGAGUGGAAUUCCACGUGUAGCUGUGAAAUGCGUAGAGAUGUGGAGGAACACCAGUGGCGAAGGCGACUCUCUGGUCUGUAACUGACGCUGAGGAGCGAAAGCGUGGGGAGCGAACAGGAUUAGAUACCCCUGUAGUCCCUGUCUCUUAUAC
rnacentral:rRNA from 1 species